rnacentral:ribozyme from 14 species
UUAUUUCUGCUGUUGUUGUUGUUGUUGUUCUUUUUCUUCUUCUUUCGUAUCAUUAAUUGUGCCAUCAGUAGCAGUAGAAUCAGCAUUAGCAACAACAGUAUCAGCAACAGCAGUAGUAGCAACAACAGUGGGUUCUAAAUAUGUAUAUUCCCAGACCGAUAAAACAUGUGCACCCAUAAAGAAGAGAUACGAAGUGAUUCGAUACGAUAAUAAUGUAUACACA